ACAACUUUCAGCGACGGAUGUCUCGGUUCGAACAACGAUGAAGGGCGCAGCGAAGUGCGAUAAGCAUUGUGAAUUGCAGAAUUCCGUGAAUCGACAGGUUCUUGAACGCAUAUUGCGCCUUCGGGAUAUCCCUGAAGGCACGCCUGCUUCAGUGUCUACG
rnacentral:rRNA from 1 species